rnacentral:lncRNA from 1 species
GCUUUUGAUGUUCACUGCUUACUUUUCCACAUGGUUAUCUAGUUAUCAUGCAUCCCCAUCUUCAUGCCAUUUUAAAAUAUAAAAAUAUAUAAUUAAAAAUUAUUAUAAAAAUAUUGUAUUUUUAAAAGAAUUGUUUAAAAAAUAUGAUAAUUUUUCACCGAUUUACGUAUAAAAUAAUUUUAUAGAAUCAAAAGCUAUGAUGAAUGUCACGUAAUAUUCUAACCUGACACCGAAUCAUUGAAACUGUUCCAUCGUGUUUAUUUUCUCAUUUGUUUGGCACUUUCUUUCUUUUUUUCCGACCCGAAUGGACACCGCACUACCGCAGCAGUCCUUCGCCAUUCUUUUUAAAUUUUGGUUUGGUUGCAGUACGUAGCGAUUGAAAUUGGAGUGUCCAGCUUUUAGGGUUGGGGGACCAACCACAAGGCGUUGAAAGCCGCAAGAGCGGGGCAUGCUUGUGAGUUAGAAGCUUAGAAUUUGAUUUCCCAUGCUCUGUUUUCUUCAUCAAUAAUACUUUGAUUGUUGGCAUUUUGUGUGAGCCAGAAUCUGUAAAAGCAAGAGUCUUUUUAGUCAAUUUAGUCUCCCCAUGCGUAGCUGUAUUU